GUGAGUGUAGCUCAGUUGGUAGAGCCCCGGACUGUGAAUCCGGCUGUCGAGGGUUCGAGCCCCUUCACUCACC
rnacentral:tRNA from 1 species